CCUACGGGCGGCAGCAGUGGGGAAUAUUGGACAAUGGGGGGAACCCUGAUCCAGCGACGCCGCGUGAGUGAAGAAGUAUUUCGGUAUGUAAAGCUCUAUCAGCAGGGAAGAAAAUGACGGUACCUGACUAAGAAGCCCCGGCUAACUACGUGCCAGCAGCCGCGGUAAUACGUAGGGGGCAAGCGUUAUCCGGAUUUACUGGGUGUAAAGGGAGCGUAGACGGUGCAGCAAGUCUGAUGUGAAAGGUGGGGGCCCAACCCCGGGACUGCAUUGGAAACUGUUGAACUGGAGUACAGGAGAGGUAGGGGGAAGUCCUGGGGGAGCGGUGAAAGGCGGAGAUAGUAGGAGGAAC
rnacentral:rRNA from 1 species